ACCUUUUGACCCUCGGUCCGAACUGACCAAUACCGGACAAUUUAAAAUCCACAGGUUUUGACAACUCAUUGUGAAAACCUUCGGUUUGAUGAACGUAAGUCCCUGGGAGCUUUUAACUUCCAUAAAGUACUGAGAAAAUACAUAUUUAACUUUCAAAAUAUCUUAAAAAAGCCUUAAUAAAAACGUUAUACCCAGACCGAAAAACAAUUUACAAAAUAGUUUUAGCCUCCGGUUUAAAGCUGAUAUUGACUUUACAGUGUAAACAGAUAUUGGGUUUCCAUUAUAGUAUUUCGCAAUAUUGCAUCAGCCGGUUACGACUAGUUUUAUCAAUACACAUAACAUUCUUUACUGUUUUAAGUAUUUUAACGAAAAAAGUGGAAUUUAAACAACUGAAAUGUAUUCAAGAAUUCUACAAAGAUAUUAUUAGCCAGACGAAUUACAACGUGAAAAAUCCAAGACUUUAUAAAGACAACGAACGUUUAACACAAAAUAUAUCAUCGGAAGACUUCAA
rnacentral:lncRNA from 1 species